rnacentral:tRNA from 1 species
GGGGAUGUAGUUCAGUGGCACAAUGCUUUCCUGGCAAGUGCGAGGCCCUGAGUUUGAUUCCCAGUACCCCCA